rnacentral:sRNA from 1 species
UAUUUCUCCGUACGGGGAAGGAUGAGAAGCUUCGACUAAGGUUCGAUUCGAGCGCAGCGAGAAAGCGUUGCCGCAGGCAACGACCCGAAGGGUGAGGAGCGGAGCGACGAAUAAUCUUUCCCCCACCACCA